AGUUGCUGCAUGCUUGAGUUUGAUAAGCAUUGAGUUUAUCUCAGCUUCAAAGAGGACACAGGUGAAUUCCUGUGAAAAAAACUCACAUGACAUUGUGGCACUGGGACUAGAGAUGGAGAAAAGCACUGGUUCAAGUUACAGACAUUAUAAUUUGUGUCUGAAAGGACUCUCCUGAUCACUUGCAUGGAGAAGGAGAUCAUAUGAGUUAGCUUUCUCAAUAACCUCAAUCAGUGUGAAAACAGCAGAAGAGGAAAGAAACAGGCACUGAAGCAGAACUUAUUUCUUGGUCUGCAGUAUUAAUUAAUAAUUUGAGUCAUUUUUGUUCUCA